AACCCAUGGCUUGACAUUUGGGAAACCUCCCCGCCCUGGCUUGUCUCAGGUGCGUGCAUGUGUGUGCACGCACACGCGUGCGGGAGGAGGUGUGGUAAUACCACCCUCCUGGGCUGGACGGGUCUGUCUCCUCCAGGAGCGGCUCUCCGUGGAAGGACCUCUUGGAGUUGACUAUGCCAACAGCACCCAACACGGGGCCCCGCACAGAGUUGGUGCUGACCCACGAUACCCCUGAGCAGGAGCAGACUCAGCCCGUGCAUGGGAGAGGCCGGAGCAAUCGAGGACUUCUAGGGGCUCCCGUAAACAAUGGCAGAUGGAGGCUGGUGGCUGACGUCCAGCUCCCCCGCCCCUCCGUGCCACGGUGCUGAGUCGAUCUCUGCAGUCUGUCGGGGAACCCCAGUCGGAGCGAGCCCCGGGUGCCCAUCGCGGUAGACUGCUCAUGCGUGUACCUGACAUCCGUCUCUUUCUUCCUUGCGAUCAUUUCCCAAAUAAAGUCCCUGCACGUAAAUCCUUAUGCCAUAA